rnacentral:tRNA from 1 species
UGGGAUAUAGCGUGACCCCGGGCGCCAGGCCCUUGAACGGCCCGCGGAGCUCCGUGUACUGAGGGUCGUUCCUGGCGAUCUUUCCCGC